UAGGGAAUCUUCGGCAAUGGACGGAAGUCUGACCGAGCAACGCCGCGUGAGUGAAGAAGGUUUUCGGAUCGUAAAGCUCUGUUGUAAGAGAAGAACGAGUGUGAGAGUGGAAAGUUCACACUGUGACGGUAUCUUACCAGAAAGGGACGGCUAACUACGUGCCAGCAGCCGCGGUAAUACGUAGGUCCCGAGCGUUGUCCGGAUUUAUUGGGCGUAAAGCGAGCGCAGGCGGUUAGAUAAGUCUGAAGUUAAAGGCUGUGGCUUACCCAUAGUAGGCUUUGGAAACUGUUUAACUUGAGUGCAAGAGGGGAGAGUGGAAUUCCAUGUGUAGCGGUGAAAUGCGUAGAUAUAUGGAGGAACACCGGUGGCGAAAGCGGCUCUCUGGCUUGUAACUGACGCUGAGGCUCGAAAGCGUGGGGAGCAAACAGGAUUAGAUACCCUGGUAGUCCACGCUGUAAACGAUGAGUGCUAGGUGUUAGACCCUUUCCGGGGUUUAGUGCCGUAGCUAACGCAUUAAGCACUCCGCCUGGGGAGUACGACCGCAAGGUUG
rnacentral:rRNA from 1 species